rnacentral:rRNA from 1 species
UAACAAGGAUUCCCCUAGUAACUGCGAGUGAAGCGGGAAAAGCUCAAAUUUGAAAUCUGGCGGUUUUGGCCGUCCGAGUUGUAGUCUGGAGAAGUGCUUUCCGUGCCGGACCGUGUACAAGUCUCUUGGAACAGAGCGUCGUAGAGGGUGAGAAUCCCGUCUUUGACACGGACUACCGGUGCUUUGUGAUGCGCUCUCAAAGAGUCGAGUUGUUUGGGAAUGCAGCUCAAAAUGGGUGGUGAAUUCCAUCUAAAGCUAAAUAUUGGCGAGAGACCGAUAGCGAACAAGUACCGUGAGGGAAAGAUGAAAAGCACUUUGGAAAGAGAGUUAAACAGUACGUGAAAUUGCUGAAAGGGAAACGCUUGAAGUCAGUCGCGUCGUCCGGAACUCAGCCUUGCUUCGGCUUGGUGCAUUUUCCGAUCGACGGGCCAGCAUCGAUUUUGACCGACGGAUAAAGGUUUGGGGAAUGUGGCACCUCCGGGUGUGUUAUAGCCUCAGAUUGUAUACGUCGGUUGGGAUCGAGGAACUCAGCUUCGGCUUAGGAUGCUGGCAUAAUGGCUUUAAACGAC